CGCACGGGUGAGUAACACGUAUGCAACCUGCCUGCCACAGCCGGAUAAUCGGGAGAAAUUCCGUCUAAUACGGCAUAAUGCAUCGACGGGACAUCCUGUUGGUGCCAAAGGUUAAUUCCGGUGGCGGAUGGGCAUGCGUCGCAUUAGUUAGUUGGCGGUGUAACGGACCACCAAGACGACGAUGCGUAGGGGUUCUGAGAGGAAGGUCCCCCACACUGGUACUGAGACACGGACCAGGCUCCUACGGGAGGCAGCAG
rnacentral:rRNA from 1 species